CCUACGGGAGGCAGCAGUGGGGAAUAUUGGGCAAUGGGCGCAAGCCUGACCAGCAAAGCCGCGUGAAGGGAGAAGGCUUUCGGGGUGUAAACUUCUUUUAAGAGGGAAGAGCAGAAGGCGGUAACUCUUGAAAAAGCCAAGGCUAACGACGUUCCAGCAACCGCGGUAAUACGUAGGUGGCAAGCGUUGUCCGGAUUUAAUGGUUGGAAAGGGCGUGCAGCCGGGAAGACAAGUCAGAUGUGAAAUCCCGCGGCUCAACCGCGGAACUGCAUUUGAAACUGUUUUUCUUGAGUACCGGAGAGGUCAUCGGAAUUCCUUGUGUAGCGGUGAAAUGCGUAGAUAUAAGGAAGAACACCAGUGGCGAAGGCGGAUGACUGGACGGCAACUGACGGUGAGGCGCGAAAGCGUGGGGAGCAAACAGGAUUAGAUACCCGUGUAGUC
rnacentral:rRNA from 1 species